rnacentral:rRNA from 1 species
UACAGAGGUGGCAAGCGUUGUUCGGAAUUACUGGGCGUAAAGGGCGCGUAGGCGGCCUACUAAGUCAGACGUGAAAUCCCCCGGCUUAACCUGGGAACUGCGUCUGAUACUGGAAGGCUUGAGGAUGGGAGAGGGAUGUAGAAUUCUAGGUGUAGCGGUGAAAUGCGUAGAUAUCUGGAGGAAUACCGGUGGCGAAGGCGGCAUCCUGGACCAUUACUGACGCUGAGGCGCGAAAGCUAGGGGAGCAAACGGGG